GCUGUCCUUUGCUACGUUGGAACGGCACCCGACGAGACGCGCCGUACCGGGUCAAGGCAAAGACGACGCACC
rnacentral:ncRNA from 1 species